CCAUGACUAGAGCCAAAGGCAGACACUCACGGACUGAGCCACCCAGACACCGUGAGGCUGCUUUUUCAAGCCAAAUUUUUAAGCAAUGGUGUCUGAUUAUGGUCAUCCUGCCAAAAGUGUGCGGGGUGGGUGAAAACUAAGGUUUUAAACCUUUUCAGUGGGACCAGUGUUUGCUGGAAUUUGCUAAGGGCCAUCUUCAUGCAUUUAAUUCCAAUGCAGUUCUUAAAAUAUCAUUAAAUAUUUAAAAAUCCCUGUGGGGAGCCCAAUGCAGGACUUGAUCCAGGAUCCCAGAGAUCACACCCUGAGCUGAAGGCAGACACUCAACUGCUGAGCCAUCCGGGCAUCCCUAGAAACAAGGUGAAGAGCACAAAAGUUCAAAGCAGCCUGCCUGUAUAAAACCAGAAUUCCCUGACUUCCAGCCUCUUCCAAGACCUGCAUGGGGAUCUUACCUGGAUUUCUACGAAUCCUUCUGAAGUAGCUCUAAACUGCUGGUAUAUGUGGACAUCCCUAGGACUACAGGGCAGCCCAAGGGUGACUUUUUUGGAUAUCUACAGAGUUUUGACAUGCAGCUAAGGUGACCACAUGGAUCCACGAAAAGCCCCUCAAGGUUCUGCAAAUAUCAAGGUGUGCCUGUAUGUGGCUUAGUUCAAAUGAUCCCUACAAUAAUCCUAUGGCAGCUACUAAAUCCUGCUGUGCUUCCUAUUGCUGGCUGACAAGAAACAGAAACCUCUUCCCACAAGUGACUGGUGGCAGAUGGAUCAAGCCACUGAAACCUUACGCCCCAGACUUUCAUCUGCCCAACUGAACUGGGUAAUUACAAAGUGUGCUUUCACACAUUGCUUCU